rnacentral:rRNA from 1 species
GACGAACGCUGGCGGCGUGCCUAAUACAUGCAAGUUGAGCGCUGAAGGUUGGUACUUGUACCGACUGGAUGAGCAGCGAACGGGUGAGUAACGCGUGGGGAAUCUGCCUUUGAGCGGGGGACAACAUUUGGAAACGAAUGCUGAUACCGCAUAAAAACUUUAAACACAAGUUUUAAGUUUGAAAGAUGCAAUUGCAUCACUCAAAGAUGAUCCCGCGUUGUAUUAGCUAGUUGGUGAGGUAAAGGCUCACCAAGGCGAUGAUACAUAGCCGACCUGAGAGGGUGAUCGGCCACAUUGGGACUGAGACACGGCCCAAACUCCUACGGGAGGCAGCAGUAGGGAAUCUUCGGCAAUGGACGAAAGUCUGACCGAGCAACGCCGCGUGAGUGAAGAAGGUUUUCGGAUCGUAAAACUCUGUUGGUAGAGAAGAACGUUGGUGAGAGUGGAAAGCUCAUCAAGUGACGGUAACUACCCAGAAAGGGACGGCUAACUACGUG